CCAGCACCCCGAGUGGUCGGGACGAUUAUUGGGCCUAAAGCAUCCGUAGCCGGUUUUACAAGUCCUCCGUUAAAUCCAGCUGCUUAACAGAUGGGCUGCGGAGGAUACUAUAAGACUAGGAGGCAGGAGAGGCAAGCGGUACUCAGUGGGUAGGGGUAAAAUCCGUUGAUCCAUUGAAGACCACCAGUGGCGAAGGCGGCUUGCCAGAAUGCGCUCGACGGUGAGGGAUGAAAGCUGGGGGAGCAAACCGGAUUAGAUACCCGGGUAGUCCCAGCUGUAAACGAUGCAGACUCGGUGAUGGACUAGCUUUAUGCUAGUCCAGUGCCGCAGGGAAGCCGUUAAGUCUGCCGCCUGGGUAGUACGGUCGCAAGACUA
rnacentral:rRNA from 1 species